rnacentral:lncRNA from 1 species
AGAUCAACAGCUCCAAAUUGCCCAACCCUUUUUAAUUAUACCAAACACCCCUAACCCUAAAUCAUUUCCCCCCAUCUACCAUCCUCUAAUCAUCUCAUCUCCUCACCCCUCACCUCUCACCCUCUUAAACCCUAACCCGCCAUCACCAUUUCCUUAUGAUUCCUAUCCAGAAAUGGAAUCAUUCCUUGAUUCCUUACCAUAUCUGCUCUUACCUCUUUACCAGCCACUCAUUUUUUAUAUUACUUGACUGGUUUGCCUCAAGUGGCAAUUUGCUCGAGAGAUUCGAACCAGAUCUGGUUCAAAAUCUCUUAUAUUUUGGUUAUUUUCGUCCGUGUUCAUCCCAAUAUUUGUGAGUAUGAAUAUUUUCAUAUCUUUCAGUUAAGGUUUUGGAUCUCUGGUUCAAACUAGAUUUUGGUUCAAUUUUGGUUCGCUUUAAUGUUAUUAUUUACCUUAUUACUCAUCGAAUCUGUCAAUUUUGGUUGAAUCUUUUACUUACCCUAAAAUUAGGGUCUAGAUCUUUCCAGAUCUGGAACGAUUUUAUUUUUUUAGUAUUUUUCCUUUAAUGUUUCGGUAUCUCUAUCUCAGUGUUUUAUAGUUUCUCUACUAUUUCUAACCGAUUUUAUUUACCCUAAAAUUAGGGUUUUGAUUUUCAAAGACGAAUCAAAUCUGUUGUUUCAUCUCUGUGUAUCUAUUACGAUUUCCUUUAUUACUUCUGACUGAUUUCACUUACUCUAACUAUUUCUGUCUAUAUGUCUUUGUAUUUUUGCCUAUUUUUCUAGGGUUUCGAUUAUUUAAUUAUUUUAUUAAUGUUUUUGUCUAUUUGUCUUUAACUUUAGCGUUAAUUGCUGAUUAAUUUUACUUACCCCAAAUUAGGGUUUGGAAAUCUUUGCUAAGAUUCCAACCAUUCCUUUCCUCUACGAUACCGGUACUCCCUUAUUUGGUUCGAUUCAACAGUUCUCAUUACUCCCUAACUUAUUUGAUCCGACAUUUUUGAAUAUUGAAUGAUUCUGUAUAAUACCCUCCCUAAUUUAAGUAAUACUUGCCUGAUUUUAUGCUAUUAUGUUUUGUUAAUUGAUUGAAGCUGACUUUAAAUUAAUUCUAGAAUUAUUCCCAAUAUUUAUUUGUCUAUGAUGACCUAUUACCUUAUUUGUCUGUUUCAGUGGGUACUAUUUAAACCCCUUCCCCACUCCCUCUAAAAGAAGACUCGAACUCUCUAAUUCUCACUAAAAAAAUACUAAAGUCUCUCUUGCUCUUUUGUUCUGAUUUUUGUGCUAAGUGUCUCUUGAUUUUGGCUAGCUAAAAGCCAAGGCCAAAAUUAUUCUGUAAUCUCAUUGAUGUGGUAUACUUACUUUAUUUCUUACUUAAUUGGUAUGCCCUAACCUUUGCAAUUUCAUUUUCUAUGUUUUACUUAACUAGCAUGUUUAAAUUCUCAGCAUGAUUCUGUCCUUCACAUGAUUAUGUGAUUCCAUUUAGUAACGUUGUUAACUUAGGAUUAAGUUAUUUCAAGUAAUAUGAAUCUUCUCGUAGGUUAGCCUAAGGUUUAAUCUGUUUCAUGCAUUGUCGUUAAUUCUGCACAUGUUUCGAACUUUGCACAUUACAAACAUUUAAUCAGUUAGCUUGUUGCUUAACUCAUAUGUCAUGUUUCUGCCUAAUUGCUACUAUGAUUAAACCAUAACUAUUUUGGAUACUAGUAUAAGUAUUAGCGUUAUCAGAUUUCAACUUGUUUGAACUAUAUGCGGAACAUGAACCUUGUUUGCUUCUUGGUGCAGUUCUACCUACAACUCUGUGUUUUGAAUUUUCCUUCUUCUGAAAUUGAAUUGUUUUUUCAAAAGCAUCCCUCUAUUCCUUUUGUGUACUAAACCCCUACUCUUAGUCCCUUAGGUUCUCAACCACCCCAGUGUAAGCACUACCAAGGGCCCUUGAGACUCAUUUGAACUCUGACAGAAUGGGGGCUGGUUUUCCAAUCUUUUAUGAACUAUCUUCUGAAUGUGGUUCUGGUUUAAGCAUUGUCCUGGGUCCCCUGAGGCCCUUGGAAACUUUGACACAUUGGAAAUAUGGUCCUAAUAUGCUAUAAACCCCUAUGAUGUGCUUCAAAGUGGUUAUGGUUGGAAGGCUUGGUUCCCGGGUUUAUUUGGGCCUAUGAAAGCUCCCUAUAGUGUAACUAUUAUCAUUAUAUAAUUCAUUCAGCUAUUUUGGUAUGUAAUAACUAUGUAAUAACAGGUUUGGCGAUAUUUAGUAAAGCUGGGGGAGGUUUUUCUUAUAUUUUUUGUUAAAACUAGGUAGAAAUCCUGCCUAUACGAUUUAAUUAUGCAGAUUGAAUUAUGUGAAUACUAUAUUAUUCUUAGAAAUCAUGCAUGUAGGACUUUCAUGAUCAUUAUGAUUCUACAUUUUACAUUUUUGCAUACUAGAGAUCCUGCCUAUAUGACUUUCAUUCAAUUCUGUACAUUAGAAAUCCUGUUCAUAGGUUCUAUACAUGUUUUCAACAAAUAUGCAUAGCAAUCAUAUCUAUAAGAUCUUGUUAUUUGAAUUAACUAUCCUUCCUGGCAAUCUGUUUAAUUUAUACCUGUACACAAAUAAUAGAUAUCAUGCCUAUAGGGUUUAAAUCAAUCCAACAAUAGAUAUCAUGCCUAUAGGACUAAAAUCAAUUUCAAACCUAGAAAUAAUGCCUAUAGGAUUUAAAUCAAUUGAUAUCAUGCCUAUAGGAUUUAAGUCAAUUCAGCAAUUUGAAAGCAUGCCUAUAGGAAAUGAAAAUCUAUUUUUUACGAGUUAAAAUCAGUGCUACACCCAGAAUUCAUGUCUAUGGGUCUGUAAUUAAUAAGCUCGUAGAAAUCAUGCCUAUAUAAUCAUGUUGAUCGAUUCUGAAUGCAACCGCUAUUAUCAAUCACUUAGGCAACGUAUUUGUAGGACUUAACAAUGAUUCUGGAUCUUAAUUGUGACUUCCUGAAGUGCCUAGAUUCAUGUUGAAUAAAAUCAGUAGGCAAACAAAUAGGUCUUAAUGCUAGCCUUAAUAAAGCUGCCUUUAUACACUGUUUUUCUAACAUAGAUAUCCUUCUUAUGGGAUUCCAAAGUUAACGAAGUUUGUUGAUAUUGUGUGCUUUUGUUGGCUAUGUGUGGAGGUCAAUGUGAGCCCAUACUUGUUCUUUAUCUGAAAGUCCUAUUUGUUUUGUUUGUCACCUAGAUUUCACAUUUUUAAGUAACAUAGGUGUAGACAUGUGAUUUUUUACCCUCCCCAAGAUUUUUUAAAUUUUAGCACGUAAAUAUUUAAUUUAGGCCAAAUAUAGCUAUUUCAACUCAUUUUUACUGUUUUACUUUUAUUUUAAUAUAAGAAAACAAAAAUUACAAAAAAUAGGCUCAUUAAUAAUUUGUAGUCAUUUUUAAUCUUGAAAAAUAUCAAAAAAAAUAGUUUUGUUUUAAUGGUCAGUCUUAUUUUAAUAAUUAUUUUUUCUUAAAUAGAGCUAAUUAAUAUUUUUUAUAAUACUUUUAGUUAAUUAAGCUAAUUUUAAACAUAACUAGUCAUAAAGGCUUAAGUUUCUAACUCAUUCUUUAAGCUCAAUAUCCAAUACCCAUUAAACUAAUCCUAGAGACCCUUCUAGACUCUUCUUUGGAACCAAAAAAAAAUAAAAAGGCCCUAAGGACUUAACACAAAAAGACCUAGGGACUAAUUGAAAAAAUACAUACAAAUAUACAUUAGACUUAGACUUUACAAUAAAGAGGGGAUAGGGGCAACACCUAAAGGGGGACACGGCGCGAAAUCAUCCGCGGCAGUUCUCAAAAAUCAGAGAAAUCCACCCCCAGAAGGUCUUCUUCUUCGCAAACCCCACCCCAAACGACCCCUGCUUCUUCACUCGAUCCCAACCACAACAACCAUCAGCGAAAUCCUCCAUUCCCUCUCAAUUCCGACGCUGAACACACACAUAUACAGAGAGUAAAAUUAAAUAAUUUUCUGCCUUCAGUUUUCAUUCAUAGAUUUUGUUUGAAGCUCCAUUGUUGCAUCGUGGUUCAGCAGUAUUUGUUCGACGUCGAGGUUCAUGGUUCCGAGUCCGAUUUGUUGUCGUCCUCUCGUUCAGAUUUUAGACUUGAAUCUCGCUUGACUAAGUUGUUGUAUUAAUUGAAAUUCUGAAAUGAAAUUUCCCGUUAUAAGACGACUUUUGCGUUCCAAAUUUUGCAUCUGAAGAUUUGAUUAUUUAGCUAUGCGUUUGAAUUUUUGCGAACCAAACUCGCAGGUUCAAGUUUUGCGAGUAAACUCGUUUUGGAAUUUUGAAUCGAAGUUUCUCUUUGUGCUUGCGUUUGUGGUUUGUGGCAAUUUCGAUCAAGUUCGAGGUAUCGUUCGCAGUGCGGUUCUUAUUCCCGUUUGAGUCUGAUUGUUUUCUCGAGUGUUGGUUGUAACACUUGCUCGACUUCUAUCAGUGUAUACUAAAUAUUUCAUCAAUCGAAAGUUUGAGUUUCAGUUUCCAUAGUUGCUGAAGUUCUAUUAAUUGAAAGCAAUUUCAGUUCUUAAGCUUCAUUUUGCUGCUGGAAUUUCAUUGAUUUGAGUCUAUUUUGAAGCUCGUUUGUGAGAUCUGUUCAAAGCUGGGUAUUGAAGUUUCAAGGUCGUCAAGGUCCGGUCCGUUGAUUUCGCCAUUGAAGUUGUGGCCGAUUAGUUUUGUUCUGUUUAAAUGCCCCUAUUUCGGUUUCUUUUAGUUCUGUUCAAAUCGUUGUUGCCGGAUGUUCUUGUACUCGACAUCGCGAGAAGUUCUUAUAUCUGAAAUUUCCUCUUUUAAAGCUGCUGUUGAUUGUUGUUGUUUCGGAUGAAUUUAUGGCUGAGCUCCAGCCUUAGUUUUUCAACCUUUUGAGCAUUUCUCGUUCGUUUUGUUCCACCAGUGAGGUAAACACAAGAAAACUCCUUUUAUAUUUGAGUAUUCUUCAUUGAGAUGUGUUACUGAGUUACUCAUCUGUAGAUUGGGGUCAUGGAUGGUUUGCUUGUUCAAAUUUCGUUGUUGUUGUUAUUGGAUUUACCUUUUAAUUACAAUUUCUGAAAUUCAUCAUGCUUGUUAAAUUAGAAUUGAUCGGUUUCGAAUGGUAUAAGCAAUGGCAUAUCAUCGAUUUCUUAGCGCAGCUUUGUUUCAAAAGUUAUAUGUUUAAGGCAUAAAUUCUACGACCGAAGGCAUAAUUGCAAAAUUUGUUGUUCUCUAUAAUAUUGUUAUCUAAUGUGAAGUUAGUGGCUGUAAAUGGGAUUGGAACAGGGUGAUUCAAAUGGGCCAUUUGGCCAAUGAAAUUUGAAUAAAGCUUUUUGGAUCUUGAUUCUUCUAGCACAUUUUGAGCCGAAUGAGUUUAACUUGGAAGAUCUUAAGCCCAAUAAAUUUAAUAUUCAUUCAUAAGUUAGUUUUUUUUAAAAAUUAAUAGUUAUCCAGAGUCUUUCUAGUUUAGCCAGAUAAUUGAAGUUGUUAAAAUUCAGUAGUUAAUCAUUACAUCCUUCCCCACAACAAUAAUUUCCAUAAACUCUCGGCCUUGCUUUAGUUGAGUACAAUCCUUUGAAAUUAGAAUCGAAGUUUGUCAUUAGUUGAAUUUCCCAUGGCCUUCGCAAAGUUAAAAACGCGUAGUUGCUUUAGGCGCGUUAUUUUAAUAAUAUUACCUUCCUAAACUCGGGUGCGCAUUUAUCUGACCCAAAUCCAAAUCUCAACAACGUUAAAUAAAAUGUGUUGUGGACCGCGGGUGCAUUUAUGUAACGUGGUUCAAGAUGUAUUUUAGAUGACGUUGAAAUCUUCCUUAAAAUAAUUAAAAGCGGUUCUAAAGUUAAAAUGCACAUAGGCUAAAACAUGUAUGAAAAUCAGAUGAUAGGCCAAUUAUAACAGUUGAGCGAGCUAGAACCACAAAACUCGGGAAUGCCUAACACCUUCUUCCAGGUUAACAGAAUUCCUUACCCGAAUUUCUAUGUUCGCAGACUAUAAUACAGAGUCAAUCUUUUCCUCGAUUCGGGAUUUGAACCGGUGACUUGGGACACCAUAAAUUAUCCCAAGUGGCGACUCUGAAUUUUUAAUGAAAUAAUCCUGUUUCGAUUGUCACUUUAAGUUGGAAAAAACUCUCUUAUACUCCCUUUCGGAAGGUGUAGGAAAAAAGGAGGUGUGACAGCUCUGACGACUCUGCUGGGGAACGAACCCAGAAUCUCUGGUUCAGGGUUCAAAAUUCGAGCUUAGAUGAAUUGUUGUAUUUGGCUUUAUAUGUUACCCGAUUACAUGUUUGGUCCUAAUGUGUUAAAUGAUGCUUUUACCGCUUUGAUAUUAUCUGAACUCUAUAUAAACUGCUACGAAACCCUUGUCUUCUCAUCUUCGGGGAUGUUCUCGCUGGCCGAGAUUCCUUAUUCUGUUAGUGUCAUACCUUGAAAUAAGAAAGAGGCUCGGACAAGUUACUAAGCUGGAUGGCCUUUUGGUUCCCGGUACGUAGCCCCCUCCUCGGCUCGAGUUGUCCGCUCGGGUACACAGUCUAGAACACAUACCCAGAUUUUGAACCUAGAAUAAUUCAGCCUCAUGUCGGAUCCCUAGUAGGAACGCUUGUUGGCAUCACGUGCAUCUGACUUUGGGGACUCAACACAGGGGUUGGGUCCGUCUAAGACAGGUGUACCCAAAAUAAUAGACCAUCUUGAUGCAUCCUAUGUGCUACAUGUUGCAUUUCUUCAAGGGUAAAAGGGUCAUUUGGCGGACCAAUGAUAGUUGAGGGCAAAUGAAAAAGAAAAAGAAAAGGAAAAAGAGGUUGAAGUGUGAAGAUAAAGCGAGUGGGGCCAAAUUAUGUUUUCUGUCACAUUCUUGUUAAGAAAAAAAAAGAGCUUAAAAAUUCAGAAAAAAGAGAUUUUGCACUUUUUCAUCAUUUUUCGUAAAUCAGAAAAUAAAAUAAAAAGACAAAGAAAAAAUCCAAAAAAAGUUACAUGUCUCAUCAUUUUUUUAAAAACAAAAGACAAAAAAUAUGUUUUCUCUAAAUUAGUUAUUUUUUUUAAUUUUCGCCCGUAUUCAAUCUGCCCGAACUACGCAUACCUGAUUCUCGUCUUUCGAGGCGUGAUACGUAGGCAACCCACAUAGGGUCCGGUCUUCCUAGUAAAUUUUAGGUUAUUGGCUUUGCGGGGUCUUAGCCAAAUUUUGCACUUCUAGCCAUAUUUUGGCCAAAUAAGUCAUUUUGCAAAAAUAGCAUAAAUCAUGUCUUGCAUGUUUCCAACAGGAAGGGUUAUUGUCUCACAUAGCGCUCUAGGUCUUUAACCUAUUUGGUUUUAAUUUUCUCAUACAGGCAUGGAUUUACUUAUCGGAGUUUGAGCAUGACAGAGCCCCAGGACAUCUAGUCAAGAUCGCUCAUUCAGGAGUAGAUUAAAAGAAAAUUUUCUUUUCUUUUUAUGUUUU